UCCAUGCUAUCUCGGUCCUCGGCGGGAGGACACGGCGUUGAGUUUUCAAUCUGGUCCUCAGAUUACUCUCCCAGGGAAGUGCCAUCCGAUUUGACCCACUGAGGGCACGAAUCGUCCCGUCGUGGCUUCAUUGAUUAGCGCGGUUUAUCCAAAUUUUUUUUGGGAGCAUCAGUGUCGAUUGGAUGCGCUACCUUGCACAUCAUUCUGCAACCCAGCAUCAAAUCCCUGACUCCAUCGACUGUCAACUCAACCUUAAGAAUCUUACUCUUACGGUACCCGAUUCGUCUUGUUACCCCUCUCGCCUUGG
rnacentral:sRNA from 2 species